rnacentral:rRNA from 1 species
CAGUCGCCACGGGAACACCAGCACCUCGAGUGGUCAGGAGGUUUAUUGGGCCUAAAGCAUCCGUAGCCGGUUGCAUAAGUUUUCGGUUAAAUCUAUGCGCUUAACAUAUAGGCCGCCGAAAAUACUGUGCAGCUAGGGAGUGGGAGAGGUACACGGUACUCGAUAGGAAGGGGUAAAAUCCUUUGAUCUAUUGAUGACCACCUGUGGCGAAGGCGGUGUACCAGAACACGUUCGACGGUGAGGGAUGAAAGCUGGGGGAGCAAACCGGAUUAGAUACCCGCGUAGUCCCUGUCUCUUAUAC